rnacentral:lncRNA from 1 species
GCGGCUCCUUUCGCGUCCCCCACCCUCUCGGCUCCGCCUGGCAGCAGCUCCGCCGCCCAGAGGCGUCCGAGACCCUCCGACUCGUGGGUACGCAUAGGCCUCGCCAGCGAGCCUUGCCCAGGCAACGAGUCGCCAGCCCGCCCCCUCGCCGCGGGCUAGGUCUCACCUCGCCACCAGUACGUCUUGGACAAGUAGUGCCAGGUCUGAUGCCGGGUGUGGUGAGUGCCGCCGGGACCCAGGUGCGCCGCCUCGAUGAGGUCCCGGCGUCGCUCCGGCUGCAGCACCACCUCCAGCUCCGCGAAGGUCUUGCGGUGCCGCUGCCGCCGCUGGUAAUACAGAGUCCCGCCGCGCACCACGUAGCAGGCGGCAGCUUUUCGGAUUUUACGCUUGACAUUGCCCUCGGUGCCCGGCGCAUACGGCUCGCGCUCGUUCGUCAGGUAACGCAGGAUGGCCCGGUAGCUUUCCUCGCUUGACAUCGCGGACCGCGGCUCCCUGAGGGCGCCUGUCAGGGACAGGUGAGGAAAACGGCCCGCUACCUACGGGCGGCUGCAGGAGGAGCGGCGGCACCGUAGGGAGAAACGGCUGCGCCUUUGGCGAGCGCUCUUCGACGGCUCCCUUAGUCCGAAGGAAAAGCGGGCGAGUUGGUAACCAGGGGGAACUGCACUUCUCCAGCGCGCGGGAUCCGCUGGCGACUGACAAAAUGGCUGCUGCACCACCGGAAGUGACGCAAGGCAAGGGCGGGGACUGAGCCCUGAUUGGAGCGCACUCUCGUUUUCUGGCUUGAUGGAGCCGAUCCAGUGACGUCAGGAAUGCGGGUGGACAUUUUGGAAGCGGGUCUCCUAUGUUGCCUCAAACAAUCCUCCCACCUUGGCCUCCGGAGGAGCUAGAGUACAGCCGCUGCCACCAAGCCCGGAUUUGCUAUGACACUGAUAUACAAGUUAUAGAGUCCCUGCUUUCAACUGUUUUAGGAGGACAGUCCAGUUUAUCUGCCGAGGAUUCCUCUUGGAAAGGAAAGCCGACUCGCAUUUCGCAUUAAGAAACUGGAAAACCUAGAGUGACAAAUGCAAAGGAAUUACUAUUUAACUAUACAAAGUACAAGAGGCUGAGUAAGCUUGGAAUCCUUAGAAGAUCAAUAUGCUAGUUCUGGCUUAUCAUUUUACAAAACUGAGGCCCACAAGGACCAAAAGGCUGUCACAUAACUGGCAGGUAACUGUGUCACACUAUGAAGGUCCUUGCGUUUAGUCUUUUCUCGAGAGCAGGAAAUCUAGGCUCAUAGCAAAGGACAGGGUGGUGCGUCCUUCUGGGAAGCAUUCUGCUCUUGUCCGUCCCAGGAUUCCAAAGGGUACCUCCGUACCUCAGUUAUUUCCCUUACACCGGGACAUCAGUUACAUAAACCCCUCCUGAUGUCCGACCUGGCUCACAAUAAAUAAUCAACACUGGUUCACUUAGAGGUUUCUGGUCCUAACGACCAGUCCACAGAGCGUCCACGAAGACUUCCAGAGGCCAGUGGUGAUGUGGGGAAUAAACCCGCCUAAACCGAAUUAAACCAGCCUUUCCUCCUCGGAGUACAAGAAGGUAGGUGAAGCCGACGCGGCUUUUUACCUUCCCGUCGGUCCUGGCGUAGCGCCUCCCGUGUCCGGGGUAGAUCUUGUACCCGCUAAAACUGCACAGCUCGACCCUGCAACAAAAAGUGAAAGUCCAUCAGGGAGGGUGUCUACAGCCAUGCCAGGGACGACAGAGAGGAGUUCUGCCCGAGGAUGUAAGCGGAUUGGGAACCACGGGUCGUGCUUACUUCAUGGCGACAGCUCCACGGAAAGACAAAAGAUGGCGAAAAGAAAGAGAGAAUCAUGGGAAGAGACCUUAUAAGGUCGCUGCGGGGAUGGGGGCCGGAAAUCUCCUCCCCAAUAUCCUUCGAUGCUCCUGGCCCUCCUUGAUGACGUAAUCAUCGCGAGGCGAAAGAUCUCGUUUUCCCUGACAGCUGACUUCCUCUGGCGCAAUUCAUCCAGAGGCGCUGGAGGGUUCUCGGGCCCAGAGGGCCUGCCAAAAAGGCAGUCAGACAGUUGGUUUAUGAGUCAUUCUGUCUCUGUCUCUCCUCUCUUUUUUUUUUUUGAGACGGAGUUUCGCUCUUGUUGCCCAGGCUGGAGUGCAGUGGCGCAAUCUCGGCUCACCGUAACCUCCGCCUCCCAGGUUCAAGCGAUUCUCCUGCCUCAGCCUCCCUAGUAGCUGGGAUUACAGGCAUGUGCCACCACGUCCGGCUAAUUUUGUAUUUUUCGUAGAGACGGGGUUUCUCCAUGUUGGUCAGGCUGGUCUCGAACUCCUGACCUCAGGUGGUCCGCCCUCCUCGGCCUCCCAAAGUGUUGGGAUUAUAGGCGGGAGCCACUGCGCCCGGCCCAUUCUGCCUCUCUUACUGCCAAGUAUCCUAGAGCCAUCUUCCGGCUGCAGGGAAUGUGAACUGAAGAGAAAGGUGUCCUCUCUUCUCAUAAAGAGACCCAAAGACGAAUGCCCCGCAGGUAAAACCAGUCACAUUUUGCCUUCCCUGUUGGCCCAUUUCCUCAACCAAACAAAUUAAUAGUUUCACCAUUUAUAAGAAAGUAAUGACAACCGAACCGUUUCUCAGGCUGUGCGAAUCGAACAGUGCGCGUUGGCGCUUUGCAUUAAUUAUAAUUAACAUUCUUUGAGCGCUUUCUCUGUGCCGGGAAUUAUGCCAAAGGCUUUUUAAACAUGAGCUCAUUCAGUUUCCAAAAUUCCUAUUAAGUACCUGCCUAAGAACUACAAUUCGGAGUUGCUGCCUAGUGAAGUUGAGGGGGUCGGUGGAGCCCCGCUGGGAGGCCAAGGGCUCAAUCUGUUGAGCCCUUCUAUGAUGCUACAUAUUUCAUCGUAUGACAAGGAGUGGCCAGAGGCAAUUCUUGAAUUCUGUGGGAGGUUGCAGUAUAUGACUAGGAAACAAAUGUAAUGACUGAGUUCUGCUUUCUAUGUAUGCAACUCACCCUAAAAACGUUUUGUAAGGUAGCUGGUUGAAGAUAUUUGGAAUGUCUAACAAGUUGGCUGACUAAUGUCAUGAAAACUGUACAAUUGUGUUGGAGCCAGUCUUUUUUUUUUUUUUUUUUCCUUGAGACGGAGUUUCGCUCUUUCAUUCAGGCUGGAGUGAAGUGGCGCGGUCUCGGCUCACUGCAACCUCCGCCCUCUGGGUUCAAACGAUUGAUUCUCCUGCCUCAGCCUCCCGAGUAGCUGGGAUUACAGGCGCCUGCCACCACGCUCGGCUAAUUUUUGUAUUUUUAGUAGAGAUGGGGUUUCACCAUGUUGUCCAGGCUGGUCCCAAACUCUUGACCUCAGGUGAUCCACUCGUUCUCCCAAAGUGCUAGGAUUACAGGCGUGAGCCACCGCGCCGGGCCUGGAACCAGUCUUAAGAAUGAUGUUAGGUGGCCAGUCAUGGCGGCUCAUGCCUGUAAUUACGGCACUUUGGGAGGCCGAGGUGGGCGGAUCACCUGAGGUUAGGAGUUCCAGCCCAGCCUGGUCAAAAUGGUGAAACCCCUUCUCUACUAAAAAUACAAAAAUUAGCUGGGCGUGGUGGCGCACGCCUGUAAUCCCAGCUCCUCGGGAGGCUGCGGGAGGAGAAUCGCUUGAACCCGGGAGGCAGAGGUUGCAUUUAGC